GACGAACGCUGGCGGCGUGCUUAACACAUGCAAGUCGAACGCUGAAGCUUGGUGCUUGCACUGGGUGGAUGAGUGGCGAACGGGUGAGUAAUACGUGAGUAACCUGCCCUUGACUCUGGGAUAAGCCUGGGAAACUGGGUCUAAUACUGGGUACGACAUGUCACCGCAUGGUGGUGUGUGGAAAGGGUUUUACUGGUUUUGGAUGGGCUCACGGCCUAUCAGCUUGUUGGUGGGGUAAUGGCUCACCAAGGCGACGACGGGUAGCCGGCCUGAGAGGGUGACCGGCCACACUGGGACUGAGACACGGCCCAGACUCCUACGGGAGGCAGCAGUGGGGAAUAUUGCACAAUGGGCGGAAGCCUGAUGCAGCGACGCCGCGUGAGGGAUGACGGCCUUCGGGUUGUAAACCUCUUUCAGCACGGAAGAAGCGAAAGUGACGGUACGUGCAGAAGAAGCGCCGGCUAACUACGUG
rnacentral:rRNA from 1 species